GACAACCCGGCCACGGACAACAGCCGAUCGACUGUCAGGAAACAACAAUGUUAACGAUCCAAUAGCUGUCUCUGCUUGAUCGUGUCAAACUAAGUGAUUCCAGAACAUACUGACCGGGCAGCACGGAUAAAACAGAGCCGAGUUAAAAUGAUGUGAUUAAAGGCGAAACUAGACGGAGAGAUAGAGAAGAAGAAGAAGAAAUUGAAGAUGGAGAAGAGAAUAGAAAAUAGAGAGAAGGAAGGAAAUAUAUGAGUAGAGAAAUAAUUUGGUUAAUCCUACUGGGUUUUUUAGAUUAUUUUUAACCCAAAUCUAUGUUUCUAAAGUUGAAAUAUACAUCAAAAAAGUAAAUUUUAUUAUUCGAUAAAUUUCAUGUAUUAAAGCAUUUUUGUUUCUUGAGAAGAAAGUAAAGAUUGAAAAAUAAGAAUUAGAAGGAUAGUAGUAUAGGAAUAAGAGGAACGCAGCGGGGUUAAUCUAGGAUAAUAGAAGAAAGAAGGUGGCUUUGCGUUUCAAUUUUAUGUCAAAUAUCUUCAAACAUUGAAAGUUUUUUUGUUCAAUAAAAUAAAAAUUCGAGGAUCUUAGUAAGAGUAAGUAAGGGUAAUAGGGGAUGAAAUAGAGAUCUUGUAUAUAGAAAGACCACGUGAAAAGAGUUCUUGAAAUGUCCCGAAAUGUUUCGAAAUAUCUUCGAAAGAAAGUUAGGCAGAAGUCUUUAGGAAUCAGUUCCAAAAAUGCGGCUGGGAAGACACGGUUCUAAAUAUAAUGACUCACAAAAGUAUUCGAACACUUGUAGAUACUUUUUAUGAAUACGUUAUGUGUGUUAUACGAAACAUAAAGAACAUUCACUAAUUUCUUUGUCUUAAUUUUAUGUAAUAUUUUUAGACGUUAGGUAACAAUUAUAAUUUUACCAUAUAUACUAUAUAAACACUAUAUAAUAAAUGUCCGUCAAUUUUGUCUGUGUUAAACUAUCAAAAUGUUUUACAUAACACACACAAUACACGCAUAAAAAGAUUUCCAUGGUAAAUAUUCAAAUACUUCCAUGAACUACUAUAGAUUUUUAAUUACUCUUUUAAUAAAUGAUCAUAGGCGUAAAGCUCGAGGCUCGUAGAUGGUGUCACACAUUCACGCAAGCUCCACUCGGACGGACACGUGAAAUAGAAAUAGAAAGAAAGAAAGAAAGAACAGUGUAUAUGGAGAAGACCGUCGAUCGUUCGUUGUAUCAUCGAUCGAUUUCAUAUUGAAUGAUUAAGAGAGCAGCGAAUAUAGUCGAAGAAGAAAGUAUAGAAUGAAAGUGUAGAGUGAAGAGAACUGGGGGUUCAGUGCAGGGCACACGCUCGCGCACACUUAGAAUGAUUCUCUAAAGUAACGAGACGCGUUGGACGAAGGAGAAUCGUAAUACGUGCUGAACAAACUCACCU
rnacentral:lncRNA from 1 species